rnacentral:rRNA from 1 species
UACGUAGGGUGCGAGCGUUAUUCGGAAUUACUGGGCGUAAAGCGUGCGUAGGCGGUUCGCUGUGUCCGAUGUGAAAGCCCCGGGCUUAACCUGGGAAUGGCAUUGGAAACUGGCGGGCUUGAGUGUGGCAGAGGGGGGUGGAAUUCCGCGUGUAGCAGUGAAAUGCGUAGAGAUUGGGAAGAACACCAGUGGCGAAGGCGGCUAUCUGGACGGUUUCUGACGCUAAGACGCGAAAGCGUGGGGAGCAAACAGG